GAUGAACGCUGGCGGCGUGCCUAAUACAUGCAAGUCGAGCGAACAGAUCAGGAGCUUGCGCCCCUGACGUUGUCGGCCGACGGGAGCUUAACACGUGGAUAACCUACCUAUACGACUGGGAUACCUAUGGGAAAUCGGAGCUAAUACCGGAUAAUAUAUUGCACCUGAAGGGUCACUAGUUAGAGACGCUUUUUCGUUCGCUAAUAGAUGGACCCGCGCCCGAUUCGUUGGUUGGCAAGGAAACGGCUUACCAAGGCUACGACGCGUAGCCGACCUGAGAGGGUGAUCGCCCACCCUGGAUCUGAGACACGGUCCAGACUCCUACGGUGGGCCGCAGUCGGGAAUCUUCCGCAAUGGAGGAAAGCCUAACGGAGCAACGCCGCGUAAGUGAUGAAGGUCUUCGGAUCGUAAAACUCUGUUGUUAGGAAGGAAGAAAUGUGUAAGUAACUAUGCACAUCUUGACGGUACCUAGUCAGAAAGCCACGGCUAACUACGUG
rnacentral:rRNA from 1 species